AAAAGAAUGACCCAUUUUGAAUAUAUGCACUAUUCAUAUAUAUUGUUUUGAACAUAUUUUUCUACUAAUAAAUAAAAAUAAAUAUUAACAUAUAAGAUGUUGUUAGAUUCGUCUCGAUGAGUAUUUUCAAAAUAUCAAUUUUUUAUAAUUUUUACUAUUAUACAAUUAAAGAUAUUAGUCGCCAAAGUUAUGCAUUGGCAUGCGUGUUUCGGUCAACUGGGUCAUUCUUUUUGGGACGGAGGGAGUAUU
rnacentral:lncRNA from 1 species